rnacentral:lncRNA from 1 species
GAUGGCUGACCUGUGGACGAUCAAACAAUCCAGCGGCCCUUGCAAAGUCAAUCAUGCGCAUGUGUGGCUGAUUUAACCUGUCGCCUUAGAAUCGUCCGAAGAAAAUCGUGUGUAUAGCAAGACUCAAGGCAAAACUCUUACUGAAGCACACACUAACUUCUGUUAAGCUCAAACUUUCGGUACCACCACAAUAGCUGUAAUAUCUUAUACUGUGGGACGGAGGGAGUACAAAUCAGCGACUCGGACAGAAUGAUUUUACUGUUAGACUAAUGAUGAGAAGUAAAAGGUGACAAAAAACAAAUAGGGUACAUCACAAUGGUACAGACCGCACAAUACAACCAAUUCUCCUCAUGACAUGUAAUUUCACAACCCAUCAUGUCCUUUGCGCCAUCA